UAAUAAAUCAAGUAAACAAAAAAAAAUUCACAAAAUUUGGCUGAACAUUAAAAAAUUACAUGUUUGAGAAGAUAAUGCAUAGCUGCAAAAGGACUUGCAAAAUUGUGUCCAACCAAAUAGGUCUCAAUUGCGUAUGCAAAGUGCCCAUAAACUUCAAAACACUUCACCUAUUUAUUAAUACUUUUCAGCUUUGUAUAUAACUUCAGGAUUGCGAAUGUCAUCCUGACUUUGGAUUAAUCUGAUCUCUAAACUGCUUGUUUGUGGAUCAUAUCCAGAUCUUUUGUAGUCAUUCACAGUCCUCUGCAGUACUGCCUGCAGGCUUGAUACUGCAAGUUCUGCUGCCCUGUCCAGGUUGUCAGGG
rnacentral:misc_RNA from 1 species